AACAAGGCGUACCUGCGGACCUGCGGAGGGAUCAUUACAGAGUUGCAAAACUCCCUAAACCAUUGUGAACGUUACCUAAACCGUUGCUUCGGCGGGCGGCCCGGGUCCUUCCCGGCGCCCAUCGGCCCUCGCGGGCGCCCGCCGGAGGUAAACCAAACUAUUGCAUUGUAUGGCCUCUCUGAGUCUUCUGUACUGAAUAAGUCAAAACUUUCAGCAACGGAUCUCAGAUCGGAAGAGCAC
rnacentral:misc_RNA from 1 species